CUGUUGCUGGUUCGUUGUAUGUUCAUCCACUGCUGUGUGUCUUGCUUGCCUGCCUCUGCAACCUUGUUUGUUGGAUUAUCCUUUUGUUCUGUCUUCCCAGGAUCAUUUGGUUUGGACUGUGUUUGCUGCUCUGUGGACAACCUUAGUUUGGACUCUGCUGUAAAUUUAGUUCCUUUUGAGUUUAAUAAAUUCUAAGACUGUAUCUGUCCCGCCUGCUUGUCCUGCGUUUGGGUCCUAUACCUGUUCCCCACCUGCACACAAGACAAAGUGUGACGCUGCCAACCAGAGCAGGAAUAAUGCAGCAGGAAUGAAGACUGUUGGACUUUCUAUGAGAUGGUCUUUAAUUACUUCAUGACGUCACAUCUGUUCAAUUUUCAUUUUGUAACUUAUCCCUUUAUAUCUGUCAGCCCCUCACAAUAUCUAGGAUUAGACGUUGUUUCAACAUUGAAAUGUCUGCUGGGUCUUUGAACAUUGAGCUUUCGGUUUGUUUUUCCAUUAACAGUGUUUUUCUCCAACUCCAUUGGAUUUUAUCUUGAGACAAUAGAGACAUGAAAUGGUAGCUGACAGCUCUGCUAUCAUAUCAGGAAGGCUGAGUGCACCAGUAGACAAACUGAGGCAUGGACCCAAAAGGCAGAGCACUAGGCAGACCACUCAACAUAUGACACAAUGCAACAAAAACUAAACACAACUGAGGGCAACAUACUGGGACACACCACACACAAGCAGGCAGGAUAAUUAGCCACAGGUGAUACGCAUAAGCAAUCAAGUCAAGCAGGAAACAAAGCUAGACAAACACCCAACAUCAAUGAUUACAAAAUAAAAUGGGAAGUAAAGCUACCGACAAUACACAAUAAUAUAAGUAACUAAAUAAAACAGAACAAGGAAGCAACGACCAACUAACAAAACCUAAACAAGAACACAAAGGCAGUGGGUAAAACAGAAAUGGACAUUUAACAAAACAAACGCCACACUCAAAUCCAAGAUUGUGACAAUUCAUGGAAUAUCAAAUAUUUUUUCAUUGGGUUUUUCAGGCAACAGGGGAUGAGUACUGAGAAAUGUUUUCGGGUGUAUACUAAAACAGAAAAAUAUUGCUAAGGUGUGUAUAUUAUAUACUGUGUAUUAAAUUUUAAAGUAAAGCCCAUGCUUGUAUGUAAGCAGUCAAUGUAAGCCCAACAGAUGUUACAGAAAUGUGAUUUGAAAGCACUGAUUAGUCAUUCAUCCUGGGCCAACGUCCCACGAGAGAAAGCUUCAUUUGGUCUGUUCAGUAACUUUAGCUGCCAGGCUGCUUGGAAUUGAUUAGAAUCAAUCGAUUGCUUCUCAUUCACUCAUCAUAGGCAGCUUGAGCAGUAUCCUAGUCUCCAGGCCCAGAUGACAUCAUCAAGGCUAUUUUCUACAACUUUAAAAGCUCUUCCAGAGAUACACAAAUGAUACUUUGUGCCCCUUCUACUUGACAGUCAAGGUGGUUAUCUUUCAAAAUGGCUGCAUUUUUGUCUUCAAAACUGGAAACUAAGUUUUAAUAAAAAAAAAAAAAGGGACAUACGUAGCUGGUCAUUGCAACCCAGUUGAUUUUCAUGUCAAUGAUGUAAUGUUUUCCUCACUUUCAGUAAUGGUGAUUCAUUAGUAAGUAACUUUAUUUAUAUAGCUCCUUCCAAGAGCAAACCGUCAUAAAGUGCUUCACAAAAGAAAUAAGGCAGCUGACAUAAAUACAGACAAGGACUUUUAAGGACAUGGUACAGACAGAUUAAAACACCAUCAAAUAGAAAUAAGUUACGAUAAUGUCAUGCUCUUGGGUUUUUGUGUGCUAUUUUUCUGUUAUUUUGAUUAUGUCCAUUCCUUUUUUACUCUUUGCCUCUGUUUUUGUUUAGGUUUGGUUAGUUGAUCAUUGCCUCCUUGUUCUCUGUAUUUGGUUUCACAUGUCCUUGUGUACUGUCGCUAGCUUUACUUCCUAUUUUAUUUUGUAGUGAUCAGUUUGAUGGGUGUGGGUUUUUUUGGGGUUUUUUUGUGUCUAGCUUUGUUUCCUGUCUGUUUGAUUGAUUUAUGUGUCUCACCUGUGUUAAUUGUCCUGCCUGCUUGUGUAUAUAUUAUUAUUAUAUAGUCCUUGUGGUGUCAUCGUCUUAUGCUGAGUGUUCCUGCCUGUUCUUUGCUUCAUGGCUUAUUCCUCGACUAACAGGCUUUUCUGCAUUUAGGAUUUGUUCCCUGUUUGGAUUACUCUGUGUUUCUUGGAUUGCCCCUUUUGUUUGGACGCUCACCUUGUGUUCACGUGUUUCUGGCUUCUGAGAUGUGCAGUCUGGAUCUCUGGUUGUGGGCUUUCUGCUGCCCCCGUGUUCCUGCUGGACACCCACUGCUACCAUUGUUAUUACUUGUCCUAUUAUUAAUAUGACUAUAAUUAUCAGUACCAUUAUUUAUUUCUGUCUGAACCACUCACUUUUACUGCCCUCUCUCUCUCCCUCACCACCAACCAGUCAGAUGACACUUUUCUUAUGGUGACCAAAUUUAGUAAGUAGAUGACAGCGCAAACAUUUACCUCAUUAAAUAUGUGAUGUCUGAUAUAAAGUAUGUAAGCCAUCUCGAGCCCUGGGCCUCACUGAUGCUCUUGUGGCUGAAAAGGAGCAAAUCCCAGCAGUCAGGUUCUAACACGUGGUGGAAAGACAUCAGAAGAGUAGAGGCUGUUAUAGCAGCAGAUUAAUGCCCAUGUUCAACUACUGUCUAAGGGUGUAAUGGUCAGGUGUCAACAUACUGCUGAACGUAGACCUUCUAUGCUGCUUAAGGUUUUGCUAACACUGACCCUUUAUUCACCGUUCACCUCAGGUUGUGCGUGUGACUGAAUACAAUGUGAACAAGCUAGUAUAAUGAGACUCUGUUGUGAUUUUAUUCUGAACCAGUGACAAGUAGAUGAGGUGAUUCAGCCACAUGGUGGAGGUAGAGAAAUACAAAGCCAGGGAAAAGUCUGUAUGUGUGAAUAUUAAUGCUGCAUUGUUGAUUAGAAGAAUGGAUCCUCAUUUUAAUAAUCACUCCUGCUUAUUAUGCUUAUUACCUGAUUUUGAGGCCCUGUCUUGAAGAAAUCUUCAUUAUUUGAGUUUUGCGAUUAACAUAAUCCUCAGUUUUUUAAUCAAAUUAUGUGCCAGGUAGUGUUUCAGCAUUGGAUUAACAGGGAGCUCAUUUUUGUUUAGGUAUUCCCUAGCUGGUCAAUCUGGUUGUGAUUACACAUGGACUUCAGGUUUGCUUCAUACCCAUACACAAUUUCUGACAUCCCUCCAAUGAGCAACAAUUGUAUUGGAAAGCAAACUGACCUGCCUUAGUAACAGAACCUCAGCUGGCAAGAUUGAACAACUUCAACUUGGACCAAAUCAUCCAACUAUUACUAACAUGUAAAAGGGGAAUCUUUAAUAGCAAACUUAAGGAACAGCUGGGUGGUCAACAUUGUAGCUAAUUUGUAUGAAACAUAUAAAACAGAUUUUGCUUCAUC